rnacentral:lncRNA from 1 species
UCAUUUUCAAUUUGAUACCAGCACUGAAUUUCAUAUCAUCUACCUUAUUAAGAUUGUUUCAGCAACACAAGAGCUUCACAAAGCUUGCUCUGUCUUCUAAAAAUCAAUGUUCCCCACAGUAUAUCAACCUGUUAUCAUUUGAACAUUUACAGAAUAAUCUCUUUAUUUGCUUUUUUUAUGGCAGAUAUUGAAGUGAGACUAACUGGCCAGCAGCUCCCUGGGUUGUUUGCUUAGCUGAUGAAGAAGAGAUCUCAGCAGAAAUACAUGCUGCUAGUACUCACUGAGAAGGAUGGAUAUGCUGUGGAGCUGCGAUAUAAACUGCUGCUACUGGAGAAAAAAAAAUGCUCAGAUGCAAAAGGCUCAGAGAUUUCAAAACUGCUCCUCAGACAAAACUUCUUCGUGCCAAACAGAUGCCAUGAAUGGUUCUAGACGCAUUUGGGAGGUGCUGCACAAACACCAUAAACUCAUAGUUUACUGAAAAAGCAAUCAAUGGACACUCCCUUCCUCCAGAGCAAAAGAAAUGAAAACAAAUAAGUGAGACAGAUAAAUAGAAGUCAGAAGAGGAAUUAGCGUCUAUCCUAGAAAGUAUUUCAGAAAAAGGGUGAGCCUCUGAAAAUGAUAGCUUGGGAGAGAAACACAUUUGCCAGGAAUCUGAGACUAUACUCCCACCAGAUUUAAGAUGUUUUAACAAAGUACAGUUCAUUUCUUCUGUCCUGAAAGAACAUUUAAGCAUUGUUUUAAACAGUGGGAUUUUUUCUCAGCAUUCAGCACAUGCCUGUUUUCAUCCUUGGCUUUGGAGAAACUGGCUCCACCCUUAGGGAAGGGAAGGGAAGGAAA